rnacentral:ribozyme from 1 species
UGCCCAGCAAUUUCUAUCAUCCCUACCUCCUCGCGGUACUGGCCGGGGUACGAGUAACCUUAGGGAAGAUCGGGUAACCAACCCCCGGUGGGAACUUUGGUCGUAUGCUGACAGGGAAGG